UCCGCCGCGACCGGCGCACGGGUGAGUAACGCGUAUGCAACCUGCCCGUUUCAGCGGGAUAACCCGGAGAAAUCCGGCCUAAUACCGCAUGUGGCCGAGGGGAGGCAUCUUCUUUCGGCCAAAGGAGGCGACUCCGGAGACGGAUGGGCAUGCGUGACAUUAGCUAGUUGGCGGGGUAACGGCCCACCUAACCGACGAUGCGUAGGGGUUCUGAGAGGAAGGUCCCCCACACUGGUACUGAGACACGGACCAGACUCCUACGGAAGGCAGCAG
rnacentral:rRNA from 1 species